rnacentral:lncRNA from 1 species
AAAAUCUGGCCUUUAAUGUUUGUGACUCCAUCAAGAUGGAAUGAUUCUCCUUCAUGACAGCACACAUGUGUUCUUAAAAUCAUCACAAAUGCCUGGCUUUUAUAUUUAUAGUUUCCUGAGAGCUUGUUGUUCAGUAGUGGAAUCUCUGCAGAUAACCUUACAGUGAAUACAACUCUAUUUUACUGUAGGGCUUAUCAGAUAGUCAUUCAAGGAACUUUCUGCUUCUCAUCACGCACAACUUCCAUUCAUGGGGUGGAGUAUGCUUCACAACAAGGCUUUGGAAUUUUAAAAAGAAAUAUAAAACAAGUAAACAACAGCAACAACAGAUCCCUGUAUUUCUUUCUUAAUGAAAUACUGAUGAUAAAUCUAAAAUGAUGGUACUCCACUGUCUCCAUAACAGUGGAAAGCUAUACUUUAUGGGCUAUUUUUACUUUGGGGAUAAAGUUCUACCCCUUGAGAUGCUGGAGUUUUCAAGAAAUGUGAAGCUUUACCAUACUUCAUUGAAGCUGAGAGUAGUUGAUGGUUUUCAAAAAGUACUUUGCAGUUUGAAAUAUUGAAUCAAAUGAUAGAAGCUGCAUUGAAGAGCUGAGGAUGAGAUGGUAGAGCAAGAUUCUUACAUGAUGAGUUUCAUUUGAAGGUUUGAGUCAUCUUGAUUUGGUAGACUUUGUUAGCUAGCUCAAUUUGGAAUUUCAUCAUACUUCCACAGAAUGUAGUGAUGACUUCACAAAGGCAUCAUUAUAUCAACGGACUGACGUAUGGCUUCCAUCUGUGGAUACUGAAUGCUGCUAUCCUGCAGUGUUUUGGAGAACUCUUGCCAAGAUAGGAACUCAGGUUCAGAUGCCUCUUGAAAACUAUGACAUCUACCACAAAACAAGGCAGCAUGACAUAUCACAGCAAGGGAAUGAAGUAUAUUGCAAGAUCAGACCUGACUUGUAAUAACCUGAGCAAAGGAGCAGUGAUUUUACGGAUUUGGAGGCAUAAUCUGUUUUGAGAUGGCAUUCCUGAGUGUGGAAACUCCCUUGUUUGGAGGCAAGCUUUCUCAGUUGAUGAGUUCUAUCCAAAUAGGAAUAGUAACCAGUAUAAGCCUCUAUAAUUUUGCAAAGGCUGCAAAGGACAUAAAAGAUCUGUUCUACUUUGAUUUCUCAGAGAAUGUCAAGUGGAGCUGAGCCACAGGUACUGUUACUCAAGGGUACAUAGACUUCCAACCCUCUUUGAUUCCAAUGGGAGAGAAGAAACAAAAUACUGUAGAAGAUCUAACUCCAGCCUAAUCCCCAAAAAUCCAGGAUUUCUGAGUGAACUUCAUCAGGGUUAGAUGUAUAAGAGUCCUUCAAAAUUCCUGUAGAGUUAAUGGAGAUACACUGGUCCCACUGGAAGGAUUUCAUCCUAACUCUACAAUUACUGUUUUGGAUAGGAUGAAAGAUUUCACUUCUGGAAGGCCUCCAUUCUCUGCAGCAUGAGCUUGGACAAAUAGCUUGGACAAUCAUCUAGCACUGCCAUGGAGGUCUGUCUCAGGUUGAGCUAUAUCCUACUGUAAAAAAGUAAGGAAAAAAAAAAAAAAACAAUAACCAAUGACCUAUAGUAGUAUAAAAGAAUUAUCAAGUUAUGAUUUAUUGUUGCAGAUUACAGAACUUUUCCAAAUAUGGUCAGAAAAUUUGGAAUGAGAGAAAAUAAGAAAACAUCUCUAUCACUUCACCUCUUGUUCUGAAUGCAAGUAAUGUUUCUCCACCUCCUGUAACUGAAAAAAGCCAGACAUAUACAAGUAAGAAAUACAUAUACACUUACAUGUACAGAUACAUUUAUGUAUGUACAUAUAUAUGUAUCUUCCAAUAAAGCAUUAAAUUUCAGUGAACACUUUUUAUUCAAUGACUGGAUAAUUUGUAGACAUUAAGUAAUACAUGUUAACUGAAAGACUCAGAGAACAGAGCAGAAAUAUAUCUUUUAAGUUCAGGGGAAUCUCAUCUCGUUUCAGGUUUCAAAUCUGUGAUUCAGAGUGCAUUUAUAGGAAAGGACUAUAAUGAUCAAAGUUUGUGUACUACAUGAUGAUUUGCAGAUCUCUAACAAAAUCAGGCUAAUAUAGAUUUUAGAUGGAAUUCUGCUUUGAGAAUUUGAAGUGAAACUUGAGGAUCAGCUGUAUAAUGUGUUGCAAUGUUCAGUCAAGUGAUGAGGUUUUAAAUAGCAGUCACUGACAGCCAAAGGAAUUCCAUCUUGAGGAGGACAAUUUUAUUCAUUUGUGGCUAUUGACAAUAGUUACAUUCCUGUAAUAAUUAGAAAUAGUACCUAGAGUCAUAAAAGGUCAGAAAUGUUCAUAGGAUACUGCAUGUGCUCUACUUCUAUGAACUAUGCCUAUAAAUCUAUUAUUAUUUAUGUUGCAUUGAAUAAGGGUAAUAUGACUUUUAAUUUUGUUUUAAUGAGUAAUAAACAUUGUUUGUAAAUAGUCACAAAUCUUUAUUUAAAGAGUGAUAUUUAUUAAGCUCUUUAGCAAUUUCAUUUAUGAAAUGUAUUUCUGCAGCUGAUGAAUUUGAUUGAAAACAAGAAACCUUUGAAAAAGUAUGACACCAGAACCAAAGAAAACAAUGAAACUCACUCUUGGCAUGAAUGAGUAACCCAUUCCUUCCUUCCUCUCAGCUGAAGAAUGGGUUUUAGUAACUGAAACUGGAGAGUCUUAUUUCAGCCUAAACAACCCUGAUCUGCAGGCCUCAAAGCAAAAGAAGACUAUAUGCCAGGUGUAACUUUGGUAUUUUCUUAUAUAAUAAAGGUAAAACUAAUGGUCUAAUGAGCAGGAAUAAAACUCAUGUCCACCAGUGUCAUAUAUGCAGAUGACAAUAUGAUCUGUAUGCUCCUGCAUUCAUUCAUGAGUGUUACUAAUUAGAAUUUAAAAAAAUAAAAUAAAAUAGCCUAUGAGCCUUUGCUCACAGUCUCAAGAAGUUUACUAGUUUAAAACCGUUAACUUUGAUAUUCAUAUGGUAUUUGGCAUACACUAACAAAAAAUGCCACUGCUGAAUUUUUGGUCUAAAUUAAUUAAAUAUGGUACAGAAAAUAUUUUGAAUUCUUUAAGCUAGUGGCAGAAGUGAUUGCAAAGAAAAUACACUAUCAGAUAUUCUGGAGAAAUAUCUCAAAUAUAUAUGGAUAUGUGUAGGUAUACCAGAAGAAAAACUGACAUGUUAAGUUGAUGAUUUUGUUUUGCCAUUUAUUUUAAUACUAAUGAGUUUACAUGUAGGCAUGUAUAGUAGGCAGUGACACUGUUUACAUCAAACUACAGGCUGAAGACCUUAAUUAACUAAUUUGCUAUGAAAACAAAUUACUUCAUGUCUACAAUCAAUACAAAUAAACAAAGUUCUAAAUAAAAUUAAUUAAGCAAACCUAUAGUGAUUGAAAAAAAGAGAGACAUUUCUUUUUCUAAUGACAUGGGAAAUAUAAAAACAUGUUUUCACAUUUAAGUUGAUGUUACACCUGUGCUGAUUUAACUUACUUCCUAAAUCCACCAUGCACGUAUUCACGCAUACUAAAUAUCAGCAUGUAACCUCCCCAUGCCUGUGUAAACGUGUAACUUUAACCUACUGAAUGGGUAUACACAAUGGCUUUUAUUGAAUUGUUUCAGGUUUCCUAUCAGGGCUUUGUCUCCCUCCUUCUAUCUGAGUGUUCAGAUUUCUAGAAGUGGUUCUUUGAUGUUUGCUCAUAAACACAGAGGGAUUUCCCCUCCCUUCUUCCCUUCAAUUCUCUCUUUGUGCUUGGAACAGUAAUUCAACUACCAGCCUUUGUCUGUGCUGUAUUUACAGCUAUGCUCCUCUCAAAAGGCUGGCAUAUUUAUUUAGGAUGGGAAGGGCUGAGAUGCAU